rnacentral:rRNA from 1 species
AAAUUGAAGAGUUUGAUCAUGGCUCAGAUUGAACGCUGGCGGCAGGCCUAACACAUGCAAGUCGAACGGUAACAGGAAACAGCUUGCUGUUUCGCUGACGAGUGGCGGACGGGUGAGUAAUGUCUGGGAAACUGCCUGAUGGAGGGGGAUAACUACUGGAAACGGUAGCUAAUACCGCAUAAUGUCGCAAGACUAAAGAGGGGGACCUUCGGGCCUCUUGCCAUCGGAUGUGCCCAGAUGGGAUUAGCUAGUAGGUGGGGUAACGGCUCACCUAGGCGACGAUCCCUAGCUGGUCUGAGAGGAUGACCAGCCACACUGGAACUGAGACACGGUCCAGACUCCUACGGGAGGCAGCAGUGGGGAAUAUUGCACAAUGGGCGCAAGCCUGAUGCAGCCAUGCCGCGUGUAUGAAGAAGGCCUUCGGGUUGUAAAGUACUUUCAGCGGGGAGGAAGGGAGUAAAGUUAAUACCUUUACUCAUUGACGUUACCCGCAGAAGAAGCACCGGCUAACUCCGUGCCAGCAGCCGCGGUAAUACGGAGGGUGCAAGCGUUAAUCGGAAUUACUGGGCGUAAAGCGCACGCAGGCGGUUUGUUAAGUCAGAUGUGAAAUCCCCGGGCUCAACCUGGGAACUGCAUCUGAUACUGGCAAGCUUGAGUCUCGUAGAGGGGGGUAGAAUUCCAGGUGU